GAGGACAUUACUGAGUUUACGCUCUAUAACCCUUUGUCUGAACAUACCUAUAACUGUUGCUUCGGCGGGUAGGGUCCCCGUGACCCUCCCGGCCUCCCGCCCCCCGGGCGGGUCGGCGCCCGCCGGAGGAUAACCAAACUCUGAUUUAACGACGUUUCUUCUGAGUGGUACAAGCAAAUAAUCAAAACUUUUAACAACGGAUCUCUUGGUUCUGGCAUCGAUGAAGAACGCAGCGAAAUGCGAUAAGUAAUGUGAAUUGCAGAAUUCAGUGAAUCAUCUAAUCUUUGAACGCACAUUGCGCCCGCCAGCAUUCUGGCGGGCAUGCCAGUUCGAGCGUCAUUUCAACCCUCAAGCUCUGCUUGGUGCUCCGGCCCUAAGGAAGAGCCCCCCCAGGAAGGGGAGGAACCCCACCGACCCGGCGUUUGCUUACCAUAUUGGCUUGCACGGCUGGCAGUAGGAACGAAAUCUCGCCGUGAAGCCAUAUUUCUUACGGUUGGUGGCCUUCCCAUGCAGGUAAGACAACCUCAUCUAAAUGAAGUUCUUUAAAAGAAGGGAGCAGAAAAA
rnacentral:rRNA from 1 species